UGGGGAGGUGAGGACCCCACUGGGAGAGGAGACAAGAGCAGCCCCUGCACAUGAUGCUGCUCCCAGAGUUCCCAGGAUCCCUGACUGUGACAACCGUCAGAGGUUGCUCCUGCUGGAGGAGGGAGAAACCCCAGGGAGCAUUUGGGGCACAGUCAGAACAGAAAAUUUAUCUUUGCUGAAUCUCCUCCUGUUCCCCCAGCAGGGUCAUUUCCUGAGCUCUGUUCUCUUGGGGCUGGGAGGUGCUUUUCUGACUCUCUCUCCCACAGCAAACAAGAGGGUCGGUCUCAGCAUGCACCGUGGGUAUCUCAUCCUCACUGCCUUCCUGGGGCAACUGCUGGGUCAUGCACAGAAGGACUCUGUGGUGCAGUUUGCACAAGAAACUGCCAUCCAGGUGGGACACAACGCUACUCUGCACUGCAAUUUCUCCACCAGCUACUCUGCUCCCUAUAUCUUCUGGUACCAGCAGCGCCUGACCCAGUCCCCUCAGUUCUUGCUGCAGGUGAGCAAGUUCAAGCCUCAUGUGCAUUCUGAGAGGAUCUCCUCCGUGCUCUCCAUGGAGAACUCCCAGGUGCUUCUCCACGUGCAAGAUGCCAAGCUCCAGGACAGCGCUGUCUACCUGUGUGCACUGAGCCCACACUGGUGCCCUCAGCUUGCAGCUUUAUACAGGAAGGUGCGGGUGCUGUGAGGUGCAGUUCCGUCUCAUCACAGUUUGCAUAGCCCUCUGAGCUGAGCCUGCCCAGCAAGGACACCUGGGGCUUGUGGUGAGCCAGCAGCCCCUGCUCCUGAUGCCUGGCAGUGUGGUUAGCAUAACCAACAGAAAGGCAAAUAUUCAUCAUGUGGAAGGGGCUGUUAAUGUGCACCCCUGCCUCCUUGUCUCUCCCUCUCACUGGCCCCAGCAUGCUGAGAUACCCACCAUUGUGGCGAGAAAGGGCAUUGGUGUUAUCAAGCUAGUAAUCAAACUAGCAAUUUAUUUGUAGUAAGCUUUAGGAUUUUGUAGUAAUUUUUAGUAUUUCUAGUAAUUUAUUAUGUAAUAAUACAUCCCUAAUUACAACCACAACCUGUGGCCAGUCCUCAUUCCGCCAAGGAUCCGUAGAGAACCUGCCAGUGCUCUGUAGUGUUGGGAGACAGAGCUGGGUGUAGUCAGCAGGAGCCUUGUGUUAGAAUAAUGAAUGGUUCCCUUGAGAAAUGGGCCCCACUGUGAAAGGGUUUUCUUGGAAAUGGAAGGCAAGGUGCAAAGCAGCAAUGGCUAAGCUCAAUACACCACAAUCCAAAUCCCUCAAGGAAUGAAUUUAAUAAAUGGAAAGAUGCAUGUACAGUAAGGAAAGCGAAAAGGAAGGAAGGAGAGUUAGCUGGCUGUUAGCUGCAAUGUGGAAAAUUGAGAAGGAGUGGGCUGGAAGGCGAUCAGGCCCAGUCAGCAUGAGUUUAUGAAAGGCAGGUCCUGCUUGACGAACCUGAUCUCCUUCUAUGACACUCUGUGACGCUCUGGGUGGAUGAGGGAAAGGCUGUGGAUGUGGU